CGGGGAAUAUUGGACAAUGGGCGCAAGCCUGAUCCAGCCAUGCCGCGUGAGUGAUGAAGGCCCUAGGGUUGUAAAGCUCUUUCACCGGUGAAGAUAAUGACGGUAACCGGAGAAGAAGCCCCGGCUAACUUCGUGCCAGCAGCCGCGGUAAUACGAAGGGGGCUAGCGUUGUUCGGAUUUACUGGGCGUAAAGCGCACGUAGGCGGACUUUUAAGUCAGGGGUGAAAUCCCGGGGCUCAACCCCGGAACUGCCUUUGAUACUGGAAGUCUUGAGUAUGGUAGAGGUGAGUGGAAUUACGAGUGUAGAGGUGAAAUACGUAGAUAUUCGGAGGAACACCAGUGGCGAAGGCGGCUCACUGAACAAUUACUGAAGCUGAGGUGCGAAAGCGUGGGGAGCAAACAGG
rnacentral:rRNA from 1 species